ensembl:misc_RNA
CUGACAGCCCUGGAGAUCUCUAUAUACAGAACAAAUACCACCGUGGCAGUGCAAGCUUCUCCACGUUAUUCCACCCAUGUUGCUCAAACCUGACCUGGGAUGAUCCUCUCUAGGAGUGAGAGGGUAAUUCAGUCUCCAAGAGCUGUUUCAAGUUUCCCUUCU